rnacentral:lncRNA from 10 species
AAAAAAAAGGACCCAAGGUUCCAAUUUCCCAAACACUUCCCCAUGGAAACAGAAGUAGAUACAGGCAGGGGCAGGAACAGGAGCAGAGCAGAAGCCCAAAGAGACAGUUUAGGGGACAUAAAACAGCAAAAAUGGAUUUAAAGGAAAGCCCAGUCAUUCACACUUAGAAGAAUUCCUGGACUAACAAUUCUAAGCCAAGGCAGCUGCGGCAACGUUGAGGCAGAAUCAAAACCUGGGGAAAGACCUUAGGUAUUCAGAACAAAACAAUCAGCAGGCGGGUCUGCGGCAUUCUAAGAACAGACACUGGCAGGAACAAAGGUUACAGAAGUGAAUGACUCUAAGAAUCAAGCAAGACAUGGAGUGGCAGAAAAUUAAAUUCUGAAUCCCUAAAAGACAUGAUGCAAAGAUGACCUCCUCUCCCAAGGACAUGUCCUCAUCCUGCGCUGACCGUGUGUGGUCAUUUCAGAAAAAGCGAACAAUGGAGAACCUGCUUGAAUGAUACUUAGACCUGGGACAACUGAAAGGAGUUGCACUUAUACAAUUCGGUGCAGUGGAGUCCCCUGGGAGGAGCCCCAGUCACACGGGAAGAGACAGUCACAGCUGUAAUAAAUGAUGGCUAGCAUGUAUCAAGCACUGGCCGAGUCCUCAGCAUACAUUACAUUACAGAAUUCAGUGUGCACCUCAACACUCUGGGGGUGUAUUUUAUAGGAGAACUGUGGCACAAAGAGGGGUUUUGCAAUCCCAAGAAGAGUCAGCGUUUGAAUUUUGAAUUUAUGUGCAAAAGAGACAAAUAUGGCUAAAGGGCAUGGGCACACUCUCUCUGGGUCCCCGUGUUAACGAUUUUAGUAGCUUCUAUUUAAAUGGUGCUCUUUCUCUAAGAAGAUCAUUGGGUAUUUUCUGAAAGCUUACAUAAUGGCUGGAAGCCCCCUGCCUCUGCAAAGGAACACCUGAUUCAGAAAAGUAAACACCAUAACAGCAACCCAUUCAUCAGCUGCCCAGACUCACAACCAAGCAGACAUGCAGCGACUUUCCAAAAACCCUCAUUUCUGGCAUUACAGCCUGUGGCAAUAACAGAGUUAAGGAAAGGUAAGUGAAACUCAGAGAGACACAGUGAGAUAAUUAUUCCUCACGCCUGUUAGAAGAACAUUCCACCGUCUCAGAAGAAGCCCUGUCUGAAUCUGAUUCAGCUGAGAAAACAACUCAGGCCAUGGUAGCUGCACCCAACUCUCUAAAUCAACAGUGACCUGUGCUGAAGGGAUUAAGGCAUCCCAACAUUCCUCAGAGCCCAAGGCAAGGAGAAUCCCUUAUGAAGAUGAAAUUGAUCUUCAAGCACCCUCUACCUUACUCUGCGUGAUGCCAUAUUCUUCCUGAAUCCCACCCAACUCAAGAGCAUGAUUUGCAUAAUAAAAUCUCUAAUACUUUGAUGAACAAAUGUUAUCCAAGAUACUUUAAAAACUGCCUUCACGGUGAGAAAUGAACUUAAUUCCAUUAAUUCAUUGUCUGUUCGUUAUUCUAGAAACAUUAUUUGAGUGUUCAGCAUGUGCUGAGCUAUUUAGAGAUGUUUCUGAGGGCUAGGACUAGUAACUGCAAAUCCUAUGCUUUUUUUUCUCUCUUCCACACUGCCUUGGGGAUUAAAGACAGUGGCUCUUAAAUCUGGCUGUGCUUCAAAAUCAUCUAGGACAGGAGUGGGCAUUGGAACACAGACACGCUCAUUCAUUUAUAUAUUGUCUAUAGCUGCUUUGGCAUUAAAAACAGAGAAGUUGAGUAGUUGCAAAAGAAAUCACGUGGCCCACAAAGCCUGAAAUAUUUACCCUCUGUCCCUUUACAGAAAAAGUUUGCUAACCUCUGAUCUAGGACCUCUGGACCAGCAGCAUCAGCAUCACUUGGAAGCCUGUCAAACAUGCAGAAUCUCAGGUCCACCCCAGACCCACGAAAUUUCACUCUCCACUGACCUAGAGAACAUGGAGACACUGCAGGUUUUCUAGCUGCACUCCCACUACCAAAUCAGAAGUGCCUGGGGUGGGACGUUUGUUUGAGAUUCCCCAGGUGAAUCUGAUAUGCAGCCACUAGGGAAGCAGAAAGAUGAGUAAGGUGAUUACUGCCAGGUCUUCCUAUGGGACGGCAGCACCAGAUUCUCCAGCUGCUAGGAGAGUUAGCCGCUAAAGGAUCACAGCUGAGUGCCUCUCCAGGCACUGCUCCUGUGGAAGGAAAUGACCUUACCCAAGGUCACACCUACUUGCUAGGGGAAGACUGCAUCCAGCGCCUGGCCGAUACAGGGUAAAAAGGCCCAGUCUUCUCAAUUGCUGAAUGGCCAUCCCAGCUCCAGAGCUCCCCAGGGCAUCAGCUGAAGCCCCUAUUACAACAGCCAUUCCACUCCUCCCUCUGCCCUGGACUGUGCCCCUCACCCUAUUAGAGAAACUGGGAUGCUGACUGAAUUAUUAUUACAUUAGAGAAUUAAGAAGUUUUCAUUAAUUUUUAGGUGUGAUGAUGGUAUCAUGGUUAUAUAUUAGUUUGAAGUAUAUGAAAUUGCUAAUAUUACACUAUUUCAACCUACAAAAAUAACAAAAUGGUCCAAUCUAAUAUCUUUUUGGUCCAAUCUAAUAGAUAUGGUCCAAUCUAAUAUCUUUUUUAAAGAGUCCCAGUUUAUUAGAGAUUCAUACUGAAGUAUUCAUGGAUGAAGUUACAUGACUUGUGGAAUUUGCUUCAAAAAUGUUUAAUUGGCGAAGUGGAAUGGAGGCAGAGAUGAAACAAGCUUUGCAAUAUGUUGAUAAUUGUUGAAGCUGAUGAUGGGUACAUGGAGGUUUAUUAUACUAUUCUCCAUAUAUAUUAUAUAUAUAUAUAUAUAUAGCUUGAGAUAGGUAAGAGGCCCACAUCACAGGUGGUGUUACUAGAGCUCUCUCCAGUAAGGGUUUACCUCAGAGUCUGUUUCUUGGCUCUGUCUUUAAGAGUAUACAGUAUAAUAGCAGAGAUAAGUCACAAUCAUAAAUAAGAAAACUCAAAAGGGAGUAAGUGUCCUAAAUGGUGUGUGCUAUCAGGGAACACAUAACUGAAGCAGAAGGGCAGGAGCAGCAGGCUUUUGGGGUGACAGGUGGGCUGUGGGAUCAGGUGGGAUGCCCUUUGAGGCACCUGAUCCCAUUGCCCCACCCAUCACCCCAAAGGUUGUAUGGAGAGGCUGGAGAGAAAGCCUUGAAUUCCAUACUAAGACAUUUGUAUUCAGUAGAUAGUGGGAAAUCAUGAAAGGCUUUGAGUGGAAGAAUAACACAAUAAUGAUCCCAGCUGUACUUGGGAGUAUUUACCUGGCAAUAAUGUGAAGGGGAUUGGAGUGGGAGUGACUGGGGGUGUGAAGACUAGUCCAAAAGUUGUUGCAAAUGUCUAGGUGAAAGGCGGUGAGGACAGAAGCUAGCAAUCCAUGAAGGGGCUGGUGUACAGGAAAGACCACAGGGCUCAGAAUGAGACAGACCUGAGUUCCAAACCCCACCCCACUGCUCACAGCCCGUGUACAUUUAGACAAGCCAUCCCACCGCUCUGACUACCCCCUUCUGUAAAAUGGAAAUAACAGAGUUAGCUAAUAAAUCUGCAAAGCCCGGCACAUGCUGAGCACCCAAUUAAUGGAAGCCACACCAUGAGGUCGUAGCUGUGUUCGUUUGUGCUUGUACAUCAUCACUUAUCACCCCAGCAAGAAAGUGUGAGCCUGACUGCUAUGAAGACUGCCCUUGAAAAGUGAUUCUUGGAGGUAAUCGUUUAAUGAGGCCUCGGUUUCAAACAUGCCAGUUGUUUAUUGAGGUGCUUAAGCCUGAAUCAUUCCUCUUAGGAAGGGUGCACAGGCGGUCUCUGCUUCCAUUGUAACCGCUGCCAUGCCCUGUUGUCAUGGUGACCAGUUUCCCAAACUGCCCUGCUAUUUUCUGCAAGCCUUUCCAGUUUCUUAACGCCCUAAAGUCCACAAGCCCUAGAGACAGCAGCAGGUUGGGUUUUUUGAACUUCCACAGAAAACACUGUCAACUCUUUAAAUUUGCCAGUUGGCUGCGAGCUGCUUCUCCAACAGAAGCUCCCAGCCUGAGCAGCAGUGUGACCCUGCACAGCAGACACCCACAAAUGUUCCCACUAACUGGAAAUUGGUGCCAUGGAAUAUUAGCUGGCACAUCAGUCUCUGGCUGGCAUUAAUCUUGCAGGAAAAUAAGGCAGAAGACAAGGGAAUGUCCACCAUGCAUUUCACGUACACAGCACAGUCUGAAGUUAAAAGACCAUUCUA